rnacentral:miRNA from 1 species
UGUACUAGGUUGCUGCAAAAGUGAUUGCGGUUUUUGCGAUUACUUUUAAUGGCAGAAACCGCAAUUACUUUUGCACCAACCUAUACUUUU